rnacentral:rRNA from 1 species
GCCUGCGUAAGUAUGUCGGGGCUAGGUAAACUGACAAGUGGGGAAGGGUUGUUAAAUACAUCAAAAACGUGCCUAGUAGUGGGGGAUAACCACUCAAAAGAGUGGCUAAUACCGCAUGAGAUCUACGGAUGAAAGCAGGGGAUCGCAAGACCUUGUGCUACUAGACCGGCCGAUGGCAGAUUAGGUAGUUGGUGGGAUAAAAGCUUACCAAGCCGACAAUCUGUAGCUGGUCUGAGAGGACGAUCAGCCACACUGGGACUGAAACACGGCCCAAACUCCUACGGGAGGCAGCAGUGGGGAAUUUUGGACAAUGGGCGCAAGCCUGAUCCAGCAAUGCCGCGUGCAGGAUGAAGGCCUUCGGGUUGUAAACUGCUUUUGUACGGAACGAAAAGCCCUGGGUUAAUACCCGGGGGUCAUGACGGUACCGAAAGAAUAAGCACCGGUUAACUACGUGCCAGCAGCCGCGGUAAUACGUAGGGUGCGAGCGUUAAUCGAAAUUACUGGGCGUAAAGCGUGCGCAGGCGGUUUUGUAAGACAGAGGUGAAAUCCCCGGGCUCAACCUGGAAACUGCCUUUGUGACUGCAAGGUUAGAGUACGGCAAAGGGGGAUGGAAUUCCGCGUGUAGCAGUGAAAUGCGUAAAUAUGCGGAGGAACACCGAUGGCGAAGGCAAUCCCCUGGCCCUGUACUGACGCUCAUG